AGGGGGGACGGAGAAGGCUAUGUUGGCCGGGCGACGGUUGUCCCGGUUUAAGCGUGUAGGCUGGUUUUCCAGGCAAAUCCGGAAAACCAAGGCUGAGGCGUGAUGACGAGGCACUACGGUGCUGAAGCGACAAAUGCCCUGCUUCCAGGAAAAGCCUCUAAGCAUCAGGUAACAUCAAAUCGUACCCCAAACCGACACAGGUGGUCAGGUAGAGAAUACCAAGGCGCUUGAGAGAACUCGGGUGAAGGAACUAGGCAAAAUGGUGCCGUAACUUCGGGAGAAGGCACGCUGAUAUGUAGGUGAAGCGACUUGCUCGUGGAGCUGAAAUCAGUCGAAGAUACCAGCUGGCUGCAACUGUUUAUUAAAAACACAGCACUGU
rnacentral:rRNA from 1 species